rnacentral:pre_miRNA from 1 species
UCAACCCAUUUAACCUUCUAACCCAUCAAAUUAAAUGAGUUGAUGGGUUGACUCAACUCAUUUAGCCAAAUGAGUUGAGUCAACUCAUCAACUCAUUUAACUCUAAACUCAUUGGGUAAUGAGU